rnacentral:rRNA from 1 species
UACAGAGGUCUCAAGCGUUGUUCGGAUUCAUUGGGCGUAAAGGGCGCGUAGGCGGCCACGACAAGUCACUUGUGAAAUCUCCGGGCUUAACUCGGAAAGGUCAAGUGAUACUGUCGGGCUAGAGUACAGAAGGGGCAACUGGAAUUCUCGGUGUAGCGGUGAAAUGCGUAGAUAUCGAGAGGAACACCUGCGGCGAAGGCGGGUUGCUGGGCUGAUACUGACGCUGAUGCGCGAAAGCCAGGGGAGCGAACGGG